GCUUCUGUAGUGUAGAGGCUAUCACCCGGGAUUCUGACUUGAAAUUUCCCGUAACCCUGGUUCGAUUCCAGGCAGGAGCU